CAUGAUGAGCACUCAAUGCACAUUUGCUUGCUGAAUAAACAGUAUUAUUUCCAUACAGUUUUACUUUGAAAUAAUGCAGCAUUUUAUUUUAAUAAAAAUCAUAUAUCUCAACAUUACAGGUGUUACUUUCUAAGUUCUGAUUAAGAAAUGUCAACUUUUAAAAAAUGGUUGUAUAGCAUGUUUGUUUUUUAUUACAGAAAUGUUAUAUGUCUGUGUCAUUAACUAUUCAGAUAUACAGAAAAGUAAAAUGUAAAAUCUUAUAUGACUCCCCUAUUUCAUUUCCACUCUCUAUAAAAGCCACUGUUACCAGUCUUUUUAGACAUACAUAAGCAAAGCCAAACAUCUGAAGGUAUAGAUAGAGCCUUACUUUUAAAUAUGGAUAGAGACAAGUUUGGAGAAUAUUUUUUCUUUAACAAACAAAAUAUUGUUGUCUGAUACUCUGCCUCUACUGCAGCUUUACCAACUGCCCGACUCCUGGCCUACCAACCACGAGGCCUUAUAUGCCAGAGGCUAAGGGUGAUGUCCAAACGUUCCUGGGGUGACUCUGUCAGAGAAAAACACAGAGUGAAAUGACCCAGACGGUAUAUGGAGAGGUAGUUAGAGCAGGGUUUCUCAGCAGUAUUGAUAUCUUGGGUCACAUAACUCUUCGUUGUGAGGGCUAUGCUGUGCACUGUAGUUUGUUAGCAGCACCCCUGGCUUCUUCUCACUAGGUGUAUUCCAGUAGCAUUAUGACAAUCAAAAAUGCCUCCAGACAUUGCCACACAUCCCUUGGGAGGCAAACUUACUCCUGGUUCAGAAGCACUGGUAUAGUGCAGUGGUUAUAGUUAUCUACUGCAGUAUUUGAUGUGUGAAGUCAUGUGCCCAAAACAUUCUCUUGCAUAUAUUAGGGUUAUUUUUAUGAUUCCUGGUUGACUGGCUAUACUCUGUGCUUUCUUUCCUAUGGGGAAGAGAAAAUACAUAGCUAGAUAGAUAUUAAAUGAGUGACAGUAAAAGUAUUAGAGGGAUAGCCUUGCAAUUGCUACGGCUAAUUUUUUAAGGGGCUCAUGUGCAAAUUUCAGUACUUUAACUCUUAUUAGGAGAAAAGCGCAAUACUUCGUUAUUGACAAUGGGUCACCAAUGUGUCGUGGCACCUAGGUUGAGAAGCAUUUAUCUAAAAUGGGUAGAAAGUUGUCUUCACAAUAAAGUUGUUACUAAGAAGCAGAAUAAAUAGACGCAGUGACCUAGAAGCUAAAAUUAUUGAAAAACACAAAAGUUUAUUUUAUUCAGUAAGAACUGUCACCUCAGGGAAAGUGGAUUUGUGCGUGGAAAGAGUGAGUUUGGAUGAACACAAUUACUUCUCACAUCUCUUUUUCUGAUAGCCUUAUGAUGCUGAGUUUGCGGAACUUUGUCAUAAUGUCAGAUAAAAAUAUGUAUUUAUCUAACCUAAAAUUGGUCCUUAUUAUUUUUUUUCAAUAUUAGACUAAAAACGUAAUGAGAACAAAAAGAGUUGAAUUUAAAAUAUUCUAGUCAUAAGACUGUGGCCAAAAUUAGAUACAUAUAUGUGUAUAUACAUAUAUAAAUAUACAUAUAAGUAUAUAUUAUGGAUAUAUAUCUACAAACCAUAUACAUAUAUAUAUAUAUUCAGAAGAGAAGGACUAGGAUAGGACUGUGGCCAAAAUUAGAUACAUAUAUGUGUAUAUACAUAUAAGUAUAUACAUAUGGAUAUAUAUCUACACACAUACAUAUAUAUAUAUAUUCAGAAGAGAAGGACUAGGACAAAGCAAAAAUUCUUGUCUCAACUUCAUUUCUUUGAAACAGAUGUGUUAUUUUAUGUACCAGAAAUUAGCACCUGAUUCUCAGUAAAUAUCGAGCAAUUAAAAAGUAAGAUUCAUGAAAUAUAAAAAAUAUUUUGCAUUUUAAGUAACUACCUGUACAUAUGGAGUCCCGGUGGCAAAGUGGUUAAGAGCUCAGGCUGUUAAUCAAAAAGCCGGCAGUUCGAAUCCAACAGUUGCUCUUCGGAAACCCUAUGGGGCAGUUCUACUCUGUCCUAUAGGGUAGUUCUACUCUGUCCUAUAGGGUCGCUAUGAGUCAGAAUCCACUGACAUCACACAACAGCAACAAUGAUGGUAUGCAUAAGUACUGUCAUUUCCCAUCUCUGGAGGUUUGUGGCCAGAAGUUAGCAUCAUUUUAAUAUGUUCUUGGUAAGGGUUGGGAUUGUGUAACUACAUAAAAAACAAAAUGAAACAGGAAGUCGGUAGCACCACAUUUAAGGAUUUGAGAGGACUUUGUAAGGGGGUUCAUCUUAGAAAAGUGAUUUUGUGAAACUUUUGUGAGUUUGGGCUUCUGUACUGCAAGAUAAGGCUUGUAAGUACAUUUACUAUUUCCUGCAUGGUAGUGAGAAGGUACGAUUUCUGUGAUGGUUUCUGUGAUUCAGUAAUAUUCAUGUGAAUGAGUUAUUUCCUGGCUCAAAGCAGUGUAAGCGAGAGUUCUUGACGUCCUUCAUUCCCAGUGGUACAGAUAAGUGUCAUUUUUAUUUUCGCUUUUCAGCAUUCUAAACAGCGAGAUAAGGCCUGGAAGUUUAUUUACUGUUUCUGUGUGUUGGGAAGAUGUGGUUUCCAGGAUUAGGCAAUAUUCAAACCCACCUCUUUCUGGAGAUUCCCACAAGUCUCCAGUAUCACCAACAUAUAACAUUGAAGUUGCUGACUAUGCACAAAGACCUCAUACGAACUCCUAAGAAGUGCUGCAUCUUUCGUACACUUAACAUUUAAGUGAAGACAGUGGCUCUCCCUCCUCCUCCGCUGGGGUAAGCAAAGUCUAACUGUUGCAGUACUGAAUGGUACCCUGACCUGAGAGAUUUGGGACAGAGAGAAGAAAAUCAUUGGAAUUAUGGGAAAGAAUAGGAUUACGUUCAGAAAUGAAAAGAUUGGGUUUGAGAUUAGAGGAAUACAUCUCUGGAUAGGUAUGAAGGAUCACAUUUUUUGUACAUGGGUAAAUGAGGUAAUCUUUGCAGCAUGGUCUUACCUUGGAUAAUAAGAGUAGAUGUGGGAUGGGACAGGUGUCUAUGUACAAAGGACUUUGGAUUAAAAUUAGUGAAAUUUGAAUUUUGCUCCCAAUUUUGUUUUAUGUUGGCAAGCUCAAAUGCUUUCUGGAAGAGGUCAAAAUAAAUAAUUAAAACAAAAUUAAUCAAAUAAAAACAACAAAGAAAAGUAACUAUGUGACCUAGACUUGCCAUUUAAAUUCUCUGGACUUUAAUUUUAUCAUUUACAAAAUAAAGGUCCAGACUAAUUUCUAAGAUUCUGUAUGUUCCCAGGAUCCCAAUCAAUAAGAAGUUGGAAAACAGUACCAUAAAUAUUAAUAUAUCAUUCCCACCUAUGAAAUGGGAGCAUAUUUCCUGAUAAAUAUGAAGUUCCGUCAUUAUUAUAUCUUUUGUUGGGUUAUUAAUAUAAUUCUUCCUGUCCAAUAACUUUGCACAUUCAGAUUACAGAUGAGUUGAAUGAAUUAAUAUGUUUUAAUAGCCUCAAAUAAAAGGCACCUUGUAAAUAAUACAUAAUUGUUAACACAAUUAGGAAUUACAAUGCUAUUUCUAGAUCAUUUACCUAAAUUUACAAGCACCUCUUCCAAGAAAAUUAUAAACACAAUUUUAAACUGCAAUUAACCUUGACAGAUAGACCUGGCCUAUAUUGUUCCCAGAAUGACAAGAAAAUUGCCUCGACACGUUAAUAUUUCAUAGCUCUUCACACUGAACAAAACUAGUUCAAAAUUCUAUUCAAUUUGCUGAGACUAUCUGGAACAAAAGGAUAAAAGAAAAUUAUUGUUUUAUUAGAUGAGUGGAAAGUGAUUAGAGAAGGUACCAAAAAAAGAAAAAACAGUGAUAUUUUGUUUAUCUUUGUAUUUAUCCAAAUAGUAGCCCAAUAUUAGAGGCACUCAAUAUAGCUGGAAGCAUUGCAAAACCAGGCUAGGGAAAGCAAAGUCCGUACAAAAGAUAUCUUCAGAUCCCAUAGACCAAAGCAAUGAAAUCAUACAAUCAUAAACUGCAAAAUUGCAAAGGGAUCUUAAAGCUAAUGUAUUUCUACCCUUCAUCCUACAGUCUAAGAAAUUGGAGCUCAGAGGAUUAAAUGCCUUAUGCAAGAAGAAUUGAAAAGAAAGACCAUUGACACAAUCCUGGGUGUUUUACAUGUACCUCUUUAUACUUUCUUUCCUCUAACUGGAACACUCUUUCCUCAGAUUUCUUAUAAUUGUACCCUUUUAGAUUUUUAUCUCAAAUAUCAUUUCCUCAGGAAAGACUUUUGGGAUCAUUUUCUCUCAAGUAAGAUGACCCAGGAAGUAUCAUAUUUCCUUUCUAGUAGUUAUCACUAUCUAAAA